rnacentral:pre_miRNA from 1 species
GCGGGGAGGUGGGGGCCGCCCCUGAGGGUGGCCCCCACCUCCCCGCU